UCUCUUCGCCGUUCCACUUUUAUUCUUAACUCUGUUAAUCCACUAUUCUCAACUCUUAACCCAUGUUCCCCCUUCCAUUAGAUUUCAGUUAUUCCAACCAAAGACGAACCUAAUAUUUCCAAUACACACGAUAACAUGCAUCGUUGCUGCUCUCUUUAGCUUGCACUUCUCUAAAGUGUGGGAAAUAGUCCCACACCAUUCCAUCAUGGAGGGUGUGCUUCU